GUCGCGAGGAAGGACGACGACCGUUGUCUCGAAUACUCGACUGGUCCAAGCGAUUUAUGAUGCCUUGUGCAAGAACCGGCACUUUGACAGACCACUUAAAUCAGAAUUCCAGAUGCAGAUGCGGGAAUCUCUGCGUGUAGCAAAGGAGAGACAUCGGAGCAGGAUGCGUGGUCCACGCAGACGAAACACCUGCGCAGAAGCGAACCAAAUUUAUGGAAUGACAAGGCAGACGAGGGCGACGUUGAAGCAAGCGACGACGAGUAACAACAUUAUUUAAAUGAUCUAGGUCUGAUACAAGUCCAAUGGAACAACGCAGAGACAACGCGAUGAAGCAACGCAGGGAGGACGUCCAGGAAGGUGCAGUGGAGGAACGCAGGGACAGAAUGAGAAGAGGAAGAAGAA